AAUGCCCAAAGAGAAAUAACAGCUGUCACGUUCAGGAUUCUGAAAACAACAACAACAACAACAAAAAAGCAUGUUUUUUUUUCUCUACAUAUGUUAGACUACAUAUGCUAAUAUAUAAAUUCAGAAAAAAAUACAAUAAUUUUAGCUUUCUGAAACUACAAGCAAAUAUCUUACCCACCUUCAAUGGGCCACUGUGCUUCAAUCAGAGGGUGCCGUUUAUAUAGUGUUGUUACUGAACAGUCAGCAGAACUGUCCAGCUUGAUUUGGUCAUGUAAUUCUGCUUGGUUUAUGGUAAUGUAACUCUGUCCUAGAGGAAAAUAGAAAGACAGCAAGUUGCCAUUCAUUUUUUGGGCUUGCUUUAAGAUGCAGGGUUUUUAAUUGUUAAUAUUGUUUACUUCAUCUAAGAACAAUUUUCUACACAAAAUGUUCAUAAUAUUGAAAUGUUUUCAUGUUAAAGAAAUCACAUACUCAUAGACUUUUGGAUUAUGUACUUUUUGGAUUAUGUAUGUUUAAACAGUUUUACAAUCCAUGCUUUUUUUAGGCUGUACUGUUGUUUGAAUGUAGUUUUUCUUAUGUGAACCUGCUUAUUUGCAGUGUUUAAUUUGAUGGCAAGUCUUAUUUCAAUGUAUCAUCUUUAAAAUUAUUGGAACUUGGCACAGAGGAUUAACUUGGUUUGGAUGUGGAGAAGCAGUCAGCUGUCACUAGUUUUCAGUUUCAGCAGUGACAGCCAGACCAACAAAUCUGAUGACUAAAAUAUUUGAAGGGUUAUAUACAACUUACCUUUUGGGCAACCACUUGAUCACCUUAUACACAUUAAUUACCUUUCCUUUGUUCAGCAUGUUUCAGCAUUUGCUUUCAGACAUACAUUUUCCUCUUCAAAGUCAAAUAAAGUCAUGUAACAGUGUUUGCACAUGAAGUAAAGUUAUUCACAUAUUAGUUUAAAUGUUUUACAGAAUCAUGAAGAGCUUACUGUAUGUUAUAUUUAGUUCAAUCUCAGGCAUGUGAGAAGAGAUUUUUCUUCUUGACUAAUUUGAGAAGUUUGGCUAGCAGGACCAUUAAAACCUAGAAGAUUUAUUACCAGAGAUUUUCCAAAUGGAAAAUAAUAUCUCUGGCAGAUUUUUUAUUGGACAAUUAAAGCUCAGUGGUCACUGCAAUACUAAUCUUGUUUCAUGGUGAUAUUAUGACUCUCAAAGUUAUAAAAAGCAUGUUCUUAUAUGGAGAAAACAUUAAAUAUAGCACAGUGAGCUCUUCUGUUUGUAUUAGGGGGCAGUUGUGAUCUAAUGGUUAACGAGUCAGACUUGUAACCUAAGGUUGCAGGUUUGAGUCUUGGUACCAGCAGGGAUUGUAGGUGGGUGAUAUGAAUGACUAGUGCUCUCUUCCACCCUCAAUCUCACGACUGAGUUUAGACCCUUGAGCAAGAACCAAACGUCCAUAGACUCCCCAGAUCUCUCAUCUAGGCCACAGUGAAGACUUACCUGACCUAUCAUCACUCCAAAAUCUCUCAACAGUAUGUUCACCUUUUGUCUUCAUAUGUCAAUGAGCUGUGGGACAGUUGAGCACACUGAAAAUCCAUCCCUGGACAAGGCCGGAUCCACACUGAUGCUUUGCCCCUUCUUGCCAAGGGACCACACUAGAAGAGACACUGUUUUGGGGUGUACUUUUAACUACAACACGAGUGAAUAUCCUAGACAUUUGGCUGAGGGGGAAUGGGAAUCAGACGCCGCUCCACAACUAAUCCAGCUGGCACUCCACCAAUGCAGGCACGGCUGUGGAGGAGCUGUCAGAUGGCUCAGGAGUACAGUUUCAAGACAUCCAACUGGCCUCUUGAACCAAAUCAAGUAUGAACGGAUGGAUCUGACAUGGUUCCCUGACGAAAACAAAUCUGAUGGAAAAUCAACAUAUUCCUUUCAGACUGCACUUUUACAAGACAAAAGAGUGGUGUAGGUCUCUGAGUACCACAAAAGAGUCACAAAAGGUGAAUGCAAUAUGAGUGGUUAAAUUAAGAUGUGUUCAAUUAUAGCAGCAAAAGAGAGCAACAUUUCUUCCGAUUCCUUCAAGACCCUGGGUCUUCUAUCAGCAGAAGUGAGACUCUUCAUAGAAUAACAGAGGGUUUACUCAAGAGAUCCAAAGGAUAGCAGACCAUAUAAGCUCUGGAAAAUGUGUCACCCUUUGAGAUCUUCAGUGUUUCUUUGAGGAGUUCUAGUGUGAUUUCCCAUCCAUCCUAGUGAGUCUUUACAGUCUCAUCCAUCCAAACACUGAACGGGAUGAAUCUUUUGCACGUACUUCUGAAAGUACCUCAGAGCAGAGCAGUUUUUGAAGUCUGAUGCAAACGUGCCAAUUAUUGUAGGUCAUUCUGGUAGAACUGCCUUCUCACCACUAGAGGUCAGAAAUGCAAAUUUUCUUUUCUAAAUUUGAAUCAAAACUCAUAAUUACGAUUCAACAAUAAUGUUAAAAUUGUGGCUCUGAAUAAACAAUACUUUAUAAAUUAUACUUUCAGAAAACGUUAUAAGCUGCAGAUAUAAGAUAUUUAUCAAAUACAUAAUAAUAGGUAAGAUACAAUUAUAAAAAAUAUUAAUUUGUUGUUAAUUUUAUGCAUAAAUUAGCAUGCAAAUUAACUUUGUACAGGUCACAUCAAUACAGCAGCAUUGAUAUACAUGCAGCAGCCCCGGAUGAUUCACAGUGUGAUUUCAUGAAAUGCUGAAAACAAAAACAAUAAUGUUGAAUGUAAAACUAUAACAAAUAAAUAAAUAAAUACAUUGACAAAGAAACUCAUAUUUAAUUUUUUUUAGCAUAAUAGUAGUAGUAGCCCUUUAUUGUCACUAGUCAAAAGUACCAGUGAUAAUGAUUCUGCUGUAGUAAUGGUGGUGACUGACCAUCUGGAUGGUUGGACAAGUCAAGUCACCUUUAGUUAUAUAGCGCUUUAAACAAAAUACAUUGCUUCAAAGUAACAGAACAACAUUCAUUAGGAAAACAGUGUGUCAAUAAUGCAAAAUGAUAGUUAAAGGCAGUUCAUCAUUGAAUUCAGGGAUGU